rnacentral:rRNA from 1 species
AUUGAACGCUAGCGGGAUGCUUUACACAUGCAAGUCGAACGGAGUGGCAGAAGGGUGAGUAAUAUAUCGGAACGUGCCAUAUAGCGGGGGAUAAAUACUCGAAAGUGUGCCCAAUACCGAAAAAUAUUGGCGCGGCCAAUGUUGGAUUAGCUAGUUGGUUGGGUAAAGGCUCACCAAGGCAACGAUGCGUAGAUGGUUUGCGAGGACGACCGGCCACACUGGGACGGAGACACGGCCCAGACUCCUACGGGAGGCAGCAGUGGGGAAUUUUGGGCAAUGGGGGAAAGCCUGACCCAGCCAUCCCGCGUGUAUGAUGAAGGCCUUCGGGUUGUAAAGUACUUUUGGCAGGGAAGCGGUACCUACACAAGAAGCAACGGCUAACUACGUGCCAGCAGCCGCGGUAAUUC